GACGAACGCUGGCGGCGUGCUUAACACAUGCAAGUCGAACGGUAAGGCCCUUUCGGGGGUCCACGAGUGGCGAACGGGUGAGUAACACGUGGGUGAUCUGCCCUUCACUUUGGGAUAAGCCUGGGAAACUGGGUCUAAUACCGGAUAGGACUACGCGAUGCAUGUCGUGUGGUGGAAAGCUUUUGCGGUGUGGGAUGGGCCCGCGGCCUAUCAGCUUGUUGGUGGGGUGAUGGCCUACCAAGGCGACGACGGGUAGCCGGCCUGAGAGGGUGUCCGGCCACACUGGGACUGAGAUACGGCCCAGACUCCUACGGGAGGCAGCAGUGGGGAAUAUUGCACAAUGGGCGCAAGCCUGAUGCAGCGACGCCGCGUGGGGGAUGACGGCCUUCGGGUUGUAAACCCCUUUCAGCACAGACGAAGCGUAAGUGACGGUAUGUGCAGAAGAAGCACCGGCCAACUACGUG
rnacentral:rRNA from 1 species